UCGUGCUAGACGGGGAGCUGGCGGUGCCUUGUACCCGCAAUCCGCCAUAGCGGGGUUGAAUUCCCUCCCCGAGGAAUGUCCUGCUUGAUACUGCCCUGGUUAUCUGGUGUCGAAGACUGGGUCCUGCGCGGCAGAAAUCUCCGAACCCCGUCAGGUCCGGAAGGAAGCAGCGGUAAGGAGUAUCUCUCUGGGCGCCGCAGGGGUGCCUGGUCGGAGCCGGGUAGCCCGGGUAAGGCGAGUAGUCCGUUUCGACGGGAGGGUGCACGA
rnacentral:SRP_RNA from 1 species